rnacentral:rRNA from 1 species
UACGUAGGGAGCUAGCGUUGUCCGGAAUCAUUGGGCGUAAAGCGCGCGUAGGCGGCCCGGUAAGUCCGCUGUGAAAGUCAAAGGCUCAACCUUUGAAUGUCAGCGGAUACUGCCGGGCUAGAGUCCGGAAGAGGCAAGUGGAAUUCCUGGUGUAGCGGUGGAAUGCGCAGAUAUCAGGAGGAACACCAACGGCGAAGGCAGCUUGCUGGGACGGUACUGACGCUAAGGCGCGAAAGCGUGGGGAGCGAACAGG